rnacentral:lncRNA from 1 species
GUCCAUCUGGGCUGGGAAUGGGAUGGGGGGCUGAUGAUCUCUGAGUCCUCAAUCAAGGAGUAGAACUUAUUUCCCAAGAAAAGACAAAAAAAUAGCUGGUUCAUCACUGCAACUAGCUGAUCACCAUUGGGACCCCUGGUCUUUCCUACUUUUUCUAACUGCCCUCUCCCUGCAGGAAAAAAGCCAGUCUUCUCAAGAAUCUUACUUCUCCGCAGAGGCUCUGGCCACAUUCAGACACCAGUUCCUGAGAGAUCUGUGCAGGAGGGCCCAGCUUAUCAGCACUGUCUCUAGAUCCUCAGCUCUGAGAGCUCGGCUAUCUCUCUACUCCCAAGACCACCUUCCAUUGGACAACAUCUGGUAUCAGGAAGAACUGAAGCAGCACUCGGCAUCCAGGCAGUGUGGGACAGGGUUCAGAGACAGUGAAAGGUGGUCUGCUACAAUCAGAGCCCUCUGAAAGGUAUCAACCGGUCACUCCAAACACCUCCCAAUAAGAAAUAUAAGAAGCACUCUGAAGAAAUCAUUGUUACUAGACAUACCUAGACAACCAUUUCAGCCAAAAUAAUUGAGAAAGACCCACAAAGAGAGAAGAUGGAUGAAGAGCAAUACCAAAAGAGUUCAAAAUCACCUGAAAAGAAGCUAAAGACAGUUGAAUUCAAGAAAAAGAAAUGCGUUAGGUUUCUGUUACCCCAUAAAGCUGACAAGGAAAAGAAACCCUCUUCCCUACGAGAUACAGAUGAGUCAAAGUUCAGAUGUGAAUGCCGCCACUGCCAGAUGUGUGGGGGGAACACAUCUGGGGUCUCUGUGGGAACUAGGACUGAAGCAGUCUCUCCGUCAUCCUCCUGGGAAAAGCUAACACUAGACCUCAGUAACUUGACACUCAACCCUCAUACCACCCAGCCCCAUCUUGUGCAAGACACCAUAUCCAAAGGAGAGAACAAAAUGCAGUGGCCAAGGAAAAACAAAAGGAUGUUUCAAAAGGUUCUCUACGAAUGGACAGAAUAACUCUGACACUGUCAUCGUCAUGAGAAGGAAGAUCCAAACCUACAGGGCCAUGAGUAUCAACAUCUUUUGGGGAGCAAGUUCAGGAGGAGUAAUGUCCAACCUGGUGAUAAUAAUACAGCCUGAUCAUGACUCUAAUCUAUUCCACAAAUAUAGCCAUCUUUUCCUUGGUAAUUUAGGCAUCUUACCUUAGGCAUUCUGGGAAGAGAUGCUCCUCAGCAUGGAUGACCAGAUUGCGAUAUUUCUACACUCCCCAUGUCAGUGUUCCCAUGGGAUUUGCUACCGAUUUUCCCCUCCUCGGGUUUGAGGCUUUUCCUCCCUUACAUUGUUGCCAG